rfam:Schistosoma rodhaini strain Burundi genome assembly, scaffold: SROB_scaffold0005801
AUCCAGCCGAUAAAUCCCAAAUAGGACAAAACGCGUGUCCUGGAU